rnacentral:tmRNA from 1 species
GACUGGUUUUGACAGCGGGCAGGAAGAAUGUGUAAGCAUGCAGUGGGUCGUAAGUUCUCACUUAAAUCAUAGCUUUCAACAAUUUAGUUGGCGAAAAUAGACUCGCUCUCGCUGCCUGAUUGAAGUACAGUAGAUCAGCUCAAUCCUGAGAUAUAUCUCGGGACGGGACAUCGCUCCGUAACCGUUAUUCCGAGGUUCAUGGGCUAAGCGGUGCUCGCAAAUCGGAGUAAAGCUGCAUACGCAUUGCGCCGGACAGGUUAAACAAACAGCGCAUUUAGGACAAGGGAUUACGUAUGGCGUUUACGCGCCUUUGUCCGAAUUUCAAACAUCGCCUAAGCAUGUAGAAAGCAUAUUAGUCCCCCGUUUGGACGAGAGUUCGAUUCUCUCCUGGUCCAC